rnacentral:lncRNA from 1 species
GAAAAUCUUACAUUUUUGGUAAAUAUGGAACUGUGGUCCAAAACACGUUGUACAUGGUAGGAGACUCACGGCAGCCUAAGACCCCAAAAAAAAAAAAAUAAUAAUAAAUAAAUAAGAAAAGUCUAGAAAAAUGAAGAGAAGAAUCCACAGGGCGAAUUGAGAGAGAGAGAGAGAGAGAAUAAGGAGAAGCCUUGGUGUGGAACAUUCAUCUGCACAUCAGCUUAUUUUCUAUUCUG